CCGGUAACAAAGGUUUCCGUAGGUGAACCUGGGGAAGGAUCAUUA
rnacentral:rRNA from 1 species